rnacentral:lncRNA from 1 species
CACGUUGUUUCAUAUGCUGUUAAUGACCGUAAAUAGCUUCCCUCAAAUAAUGUCAGAGUCUAGGUGCUGAGCUGAAAGGGGCCUUUUAAAGGCCCCUUCGACCCUCUCACUUUAUAGAUUAAGAAACCAACGCCCUGAGCGAUGAAGAGGCUACUGUUCUACAAUCUAUAAUGGGCCCAGUCUGUCUACCUUUUAGCUCAGUGCUUAUUUCAGAAAACAACCUGAAUUUUCACAGAUGUUUACAUUUUGUUUUCUUUUUUUAAAGUCCUAAUUUCUGUUGGCUAUAUUAUUUAAGCAGAUUCUAUUUUAAGGAAAUUUCAUGGAAGAGCUCCUCCAGGUGGCAGCAUCAAUUAUUCCAUGGUAACCUAAAGAAAAAGCAAAACACCAACCUCCUGAAAACGACUGCAAGGCCCUAGCUUACGUGUGUUGUGACAUGCCUGCUUACCAAGCCAGCAAGCUGCUGGCUUAGAGAUAGGCUGGCAGCCAUUCAUACCUGUCAAACACAUCAGUACACAGUGGAUACAGCCUUUCACACCAUCAGGAAAAACAAGGAUGAAAAACACUUGAACAUCACUGUUUUCCAGGAAGUAGGGUGUGACCUCUUUUCGACAGAUGGGGUGAAAACACACAAGUGGACCAGCAGCUCCCGCCACAAAUAAAGAGUCUGGAAAUGCAGGGCCACUCAUGGGCAGCAGCUUCUUGUCCAGUCGUCACCAAUAAAGAGAAUCCCCACCACGGUCCUAGUGCCAAGGUGGCCACUGAGUGCAACAGGUGGAAGAAAACGGAAUCUUGAAUAAGAAAACGUGUUCUACUCCCAACUGCUACCUUUCAACCCCAAGCGGUGCUGACAUGAAAAAUGGCAUAUAAUGAGCUCUUCUACAGAGCAGAACUUGGAGUAAAAAUUGUCUCUGUUUCCAAGACGUGUGAGAUGUCUGAACUCUGAGAUGGUGUUUCAUCUCCACCCGAUUUCACCAAAGGGGUGUCAAUAUCUUUAAAGAACUGAUCUUCAGUAGGAAUUGGUGAGGUGGCAAGGUAAGCAGGAAGCUUUUCCUUGAGGAGAAUGGAGAAAGAAAAGUUAUCCAUGACAAACUCGACAGUGAAUUAAAGCAGUAAUAUUUUGAAUAUAUAAAUUUUCACCAUGGUAAAAAAAAAAAAAAUACAUAUUCCCUAAAGGCAAGAAAGUCCCACUGAACUAAGGCACUGCCUACUAUACUCUGACGAGGUCUUUCCCCUGUGAGGCAGCUAAGUACCAGCCCACUUGGGUACAUGUAACUGAGUCCAUCUGAAGGAACUGACAUGCCAAGUCAGCAUGGAACACCCCAAAGCCAUAAUUAAAGCUAAGCCUAUUAAAUUCUUCACAAAGCAAAGAUCAAAGCAGCAACAAAAAUCUCAGGAGGUGUUACAAAGGACUCUCUCAAGAACUCACACAGAACAUUCAGAACAGGAAAAAGCAGAAGGCAGAGAUUAAGGACACUACAUCAGACAAAGGGCAGCAGGACAGGUGAGUGACGCGAGGAUGCAGUGAUACAGAGCGGCCAAUGCUUAUGUUUUGCCAAAUUAAUUGGAGAAAGGCAAUUAGAGACAAUACCGUGUAACAAAUGACAUUAGUAAAUUUUUAAACCAUAAAGCAUUUAUGUUUAAAAAUAAGAAAUAUUCCUUCCUGUAGGAAUUCAAAAGAAGAAAAUAAGGCCCAAUAUUUAGAAGCAGUCAAACUCCUAAUACUAAAUAAACGAUCAAGUCUGGUGUUCAGUAAAUUCAUGUCUUAGCCAUUUGUUUCAUUCCUUUUUGUAUCAUCAGAGGAAAUGGAAGGUACAUAAUAGAGAUAAAAAUUAACUUCAGGCAGAACGUGGUGGCUCACGCCUGCAAUCCCAGCACUUUGGGAGGCAGAGGCAGGCGGAUCACCUGAGGUCAGGAGUUUGAGACCAGCCUGGCUAACAUGGUGAAACCCUGUCUCUACUAAAAAUACAAAAUUAGCUGGGCCUGGUGAUGCAUGCCUGUAAUCCCAGCUACUCAGGAGGCUGAGGCAGAAGAAUUGCUUGGACCUGAGGGGGAGGUUGUAGUGAGCCGAGAUCAUGCCACUGCACUCCAGCCUGGGCAACAGAGCGAGACUCCAUCUCAAAACAAACAACAAAAAAAUUAACCUCAUAUAAUUUAAAAUACUCAAGCUUUUAAACAAUAGUUCUGAAAAUGUAUAGGUUUCUGUAAUUAUUUUUUUAUUAAGCUUUUGAACUUAGCUUUGAUAAACAUAUUACCCUGAAGCUAAAGUUUGAUUUAGCUAGGAGAAAUCUGUGUUCACCAGAAACACACACUUACAGAGAAAUUGUAAUAAGAUAUUCUGAAUGUCCAAAAGAAACCCAGAUGAGAGGUCGUGGUCUCUGACUUUGAGGAUUUUUAAUUCAAUGAUCUUUAUUUUACUUACUGAAAGCUCUUUUUGUUUCUGGUGGUAUUUCUUAGUUCUAUUAUAGCAAUGUUUGUAGGAUGAAGAUAACCUGAACGCCUACCAGCAAGAAAAUGGUUAAACAAACUAUGGUAUGUCCAUACUAUGGAAUACUGUGCAGCUAUUAAAAGCACAGAGUUAGGUUUAGAACUAGACUUGAAAAGAAUGUUGAUGACAUAUAAUUAAAUGAGAAAAAUCUGAGAGAAAAAAAUCAAAUAAAUGGCAACAAACUGGGUUUUUGGUCAUCUUUAUCCUACUCUAAAUGACGAACCCCUAGAGGAACAGAGGCAUGUUGUAUUCAUAGCAUGUGGCAUAGAGUAGUAAUUCCAACAUUUGUUGGAUAAAUUAACAAUUUUUUAUUUUAAGGAGAAGCAUACUACACAAGAUAAACUCUGGUCAAUGUAGUCAUAUGUGGAAUAGGGAGAAAAAGGCUGGAAAGUUGACAUUUUCCAAGUUGUCCUUGCUGAGCAUAAUUUUUAGCGGAACUGUCAGAAUAAGCCAUGAAAACGAGGUUAACAUCAAUAACCCAGUCCUCUCGCUUACGGUGCCUGCUGAUCUAGAAGUUCAGUGUUAUGAAUUAUAAAUAAUUUUAAGAAACAUACAAAAAGUGGUUUUUUUUUUUGACAGAUGUCAUUUAUUAUGUUUCAUUCUGCUCUUUGCCUCUGUCUCUGAUAAGGAAAAAUGUUGCUUAGGCCAAGUAAAUGCAAACAAGGUAUUACAAAGAUAAGUAAUGAAGAAACUAGAAAAAGCACCAGUCUGAUCAAGCUUCCCCUUCAUAAAUCAUAGUGUUUCAAUGCUGCUUUACCUACUGGUACCUAAGUUGUUGGUUUCUCAAUCAAAAAAUGAUAAACAAUCUCAUUUUGCUAUCGUAUUUUUUGGUAAUAAUUUUCUUUGUAAAUUUAUUGUAUCAAACUGUAAGUUCAUCUUCAAAGCCAAAAAAGUAGUCCUGUAUCCUUAAUAACUUGAUGCUUAUCAGUUUUGCUAUUUGAGACUUUAUUCUUUAUGAAGAAUGAUGUACUGAUGCCUUUGAAAGAAUUUUUAAAAAGAUGCACAUUACGUGAUCUGAGUUCUUUAGUGAGAAUGUAAAAUCUAUUAUUAAUAAAUAAAUAAAUAAAAAGAUCCACAUUGAAUCCAUCAAGAAUCCGUCGUUAACUAGCGUUCAAAUCAGUACAUACAGAAUGUGUGUGCUGGGGAGGGGGGAUUUUAACAAAUCAUGCUCGUUUGCUAGAAGAAGUCAAACAUGUAAUCACUUAUAAAAGGAUAUAGGCCAAUUAAUUUAACUCUCUUGAGAUCAUAAUAAAUUAAUUCACCUGACUACUCAAGGUGAGGGAUGUAAUAUCCCAACCAAAAUGGUAAACAUGAGUCCCAGUCCAAAGGGCACAUGUGGAUAAACACAUAGCCAGAAGAGAAAUGCCCUACUCAGGCAGAACUGAAUGUAUUCAAGUCAAUAUGUGAACCAGAAGCAACACUAAGUAAGAAAGCUCAUUAAAGCUAGAAAGUGAUGUGCCUUCCCUUAGAAAAAGUGCAAGUAUGUGCAUUCAGCAUGCUCCCUGCACCCUGAAACUUUGUAUGGAGAAAAAUUCCUCAUCCCUUCAGUUCCUUUUUGACAGCUUAGUUCUUCAACAUGAAACUAAAGCUUGUCUUGCCAACAACAGUCCUCUGUACAAUCAACCAUAAAAAACUGCUAAACGGUCCGUCUGGGCCACGUACCAGAGGCCUGAGCACACUGUGUAAGGAGGGUGUAACCCAUGCAAACUUACAUAUUCUUCUUCAGUCUCCUCAACAAAGAAAGCUUCUCCGUUAUCACCCAACUUCAUGUGAAGAUCCACUGCACUGCCGUUGAUUUCUAUAUCAAUCUAUGGGAGAAACAAAGUAUGACUUAAUGUUCAAGGAGUCUUUCCUUCAAGUUAAACUAAACCAGAACUCUGAGUUCUCAAGUCAAACUUAGCAUAGUUUUGAGGUUCCUAGAACUACAGCCUCUGAGAAACACUGCUACUUGCCCCUACCCAACCCCUAAGAAGCCAAAUGGAGCUGGCAGAGGGAGAGAUGGACAACCAGGAAUUGAAAGAAAGUGUUUCACCAUCUAUUUUUACAACAUAUAAAAAUUUUAAAAUUAUUUUUCAAAUUUAAAAUGGGGGAAAUAUUAUUGUCAAACAUUUGCACACUUUCCAAGUUAUGGCACAGGCAGGCCUCACCUCACACGGUUCAGAUACACACAAGUUUCAGGAACCUCAGUAUGUGAGCUGUGAGCAACUGCAUCAAGUACAACUUCACCGACAGCUCUUCUGCCCACAGAUCACUACGUAAGUAACAGGUGACAAUCAGUGCUGUGAUUGGUCACUGAUGAUGGCGGUUCCAUUUUCCCAAGAACCAGGUGAAACGAUGGGAUAAGUAAUAUCAUGUCAAAAAAAAAUUCAGGUAGACAUAUGCGUUGGGCCAUUUUUGUGUUUGCUAUAAAGAAAUACACAAGGCUGGGCAAUUUAUAAAGAAAAGAGGUUUAACUGGCUCAUGGUUCUGCAGGCUGUACAAGCACGGCGUUGGCAUCUGCUUGGUUUCUGGGGAGGACUCAGGAAACCUUUACUCACGGUGAAAGGCGAAGUGGGGGCAGACACGUCACAUAGUGAGAGCAGGUGCAAGAGACUGGGGGUGCCACACAAAGGUGCCACACACUUUUAAAACAAUUGGAUCUUGUCAACUCAGCAAAAACUCAUUCAUCCCCAAGUGGAUGGUGCUAAGCCAUCCAUGAGGGAUCUGCCCCCAUGAUCCAAACACCUCCCACCAGGCUCACCUCUAACACUGGAGUUCACAUUUCAACAUGAGACUUGGAGGGGACAUCCAAACCUUAUCAACAUAUUUUGUCAAAAUGCUUGUUAUAAAACUCCUAUGUAUGGGCCGGGUGCAGUGGCUCAUGCUUGUAAUCCCAGUACUUUGGGAGACCAAGGUGGGCAGGUCACCUGAGGUCAAGAGUUCGAGACCAACCUGACCAACAUGGUGAAACCCCGCCUCUACCAAAAAUACAAAAUCGGCUGGGCAUGGUGGCGCCCGCCUGUAAUCCCAGCUACUCGGGAGGCUGAGGCAGGAGAAUCGCUUGAACCCAGGAGGCGGAGGCUGCAGUGAGCCGAGAUCACGCCAUUGCACUCCAGCCUGGGCAACAAAAGCGAAACUCUCUCAAAAAGAAAAACAAACAAAACAAAACAAAAACAAACAAAAAAACCUCCUAUGUAUGAAUAACAUAACCACACUGAAGUGAGGAAGAAUGGAACUAACCUUACCUUGGAAACAGUAUUUUGACUUGUAUUAUAAGUCUAAAGACAUAUUUGAUAUGUUACUCCAAACAAACAUUGUGCAGUAGUUAAUACAUUCACAGAGAUUUGAGUUAGCAAUUCUGAAACUAUUUUGUGUUUCCUAGGAUUGAGUAACUAAGCAGAUAUACUGACGAUAAUCAGAACCAUGUUUCCUGUUGAAAGAGAAAAAAAUUAUAAAUAAGGAGGGGGAAAGAAGCCUGCGAUGGUGGAUGGGAAUUGGAGGAACCCGUGUGCCCUCAUGAUUUUCAUAUAUAGAUGCAGGGGUGUGUGUGUGUGUGUGUGUGUGUGUGUGUGUGUACACGUGCACACAUCCACCCAUUUCCUGGCUCUGCCAGCUUGGGCUGCCUAGAAGCAAUGAUACCUCAGGAGUUACGAGCACGCCUAAUAAGCAGAUCUUUGUUCGUAAAUACUAUUCUUCAAUAAAAGGAACUGGCGUAAAAUAAUUAAUGCCAGAGCUGAGGCAGGGAAAGUAGCUUCUUCUGGAACACCUUCUGGUACCAGGAAGGAAGGGUUCAAAAACUGAUGGGAGCAUUUCAAAGGAACUCAACUUGAAGGACAUACACUAACAGUCAAACUGGGACAAUCUGAGCAACUAAUUUCAUUUUUGGAGGCUAUCCAUUUAAACAGUGUAGCUGGGAAAAUAGAAGAAUGCUUCUUUAACAUGCAAAUUCAGACUCUAAACUAUUCAUACACUAUCUCAGAAAAAUUAACACUUCACAGCCCUUACUUUUAGAGAUCAAGUAUGACAUUUCUCAAUGUGACUACUUAUCAUCUUUGUGUGACUUUAAAUGGAGUUUGGUCUUUCCAAAAAUUAAACCUAACAUCAAAUUAUGCUAAUAUUGGCAAUACUUAAAAGAAUAUGCUGUGAACUCUUCAGGCAACAACAACACAAAGGUUUUAAAAAUAUUUUGAGAGAACACCAAGUUGGAACAAAUUCUUCCCACCAACGUGAUUAUUUUAAAAAGGACACUAAUUUGAUGUAUGAAAUUCUAGUAAAACAGUUUUAAAAAUAACCCCUCAUUUCCAUAUAGUCUUACUUCUUACACUGUGGCUUAAUUGUGCUGAACAUAAUAUAGGACUAAGAUGCUGAAAUGAAACUGGUAUCUCUGAGAAACAGUCGAUGUACUAGACUUUUGAACUAGCUUACCACUCUUUGGGUAAGAAUAUCUCAAAUGUCUUUUGGGAGUCUAUUCAUCCUGUUUCAAAUCAUAUACAAGCUGAGUGUCUCAAAUCCAAAAAUCUGAAAUCUAAAAAUGCUCAAAAAUCUGAAACUUCUUGAGCAUUUACAUGACACUCAAAGAUAAUGCUCACUGGAGCACUUCAGACGUCAGAUUUUCAGAUUUGGGAUGCUCAACCAGUAAGUAUAGUGUAAAUAUUCCAAAAAAUGAAAAAAAUGAAAUCCAAAAUGCUCUGGUCCCAAGCAUUUCAGAUAAGGGAUACUCAACCUGUAUUUCUGGUGUGGCUUUAGGGAGUAGAGGUGGGCUGUUGUCCAAGCCAAUAAAUAUAUCUCUUUCCCAGCUACAGAAACUGGUCCCAGAGAUAUGUCCGUUCCUUUGACAGGGAGACUAAAUACUGAUACUUCUGUAGGAAGCUCUCUCUCCACUGGGAUUGAUGAGUUAACAGAUUGUGAGCCUGGAGGUAUUGGUGGCCAUUUUACAUUAGAGAGAAAACAGAAGUGGAAGCAGAGAGCAGAGGUGGGGAAAGAAAAAGGGAAUUCUGACAGCAAGCUUUUUUGCCUAAGCUAGUAGAGGGUAAAUUUCUGUUAUCAGCAAUGAAAAUAGUUUUAAUACACUGGGUUAUUUAACUUUGAUAAAUAAUCUGACCAGGCGUGGUGGCUCACACCUGUAAUCCCAGCACUUUGGGAGGCCAAGGCGGGUGGAUUACCUGAGAUCAGGUAAUCCUAGCCAACAUGGAGAAACCCCAUCUCUACUAAAAACACAAAAAGCAGCCAGGCGUGGUAGCACGCGCCUAUAAUCCCAGCUACUCGGGAGGCUGAGGCAGGAGAAACGCUUGAAUCAGGGAGGCGGAAGUUGCAGUGAGCAGAGAUCGCCCCACUGCACUCCAGCUUGGGCGACAAAGCGAGACUCCAUCUCAAAAAAAAAAAAAAAACAACAAAAAAAAAAAACAGAAAAAAGAAAAAAAAACUUUUAUAAAUAAUCAAGUAAUCAGCUUUUUCUGAUAUCAAUAAAUUUUAAAAUAUCAAGUACACAUUUACCUUCUAAAAGUAAACUCCUAAGUUACUAAAUUUACUGGGAGUACUGCUGUUCUACCAAACAAUUACGUAUCAAUGGCAGUGGGAAAAUUAUUAUACUACAUCUCUCUAAACAGUGGUUUUAAGGUGGUCAUGAUUUCAAAUUCACUUCAUAGGUACACCCGUAUUUGAAAAUUUGGGGUCUUACUUUCACAUCAAUGGCCAGCUUUCCCUAACCCAAACUGACUUAAAAUAAGACAAAUAGUUAAUGCAAAUUGCCAGUGUAUCUCAAAGUAGGCAUGAUUUCAGUUUUACUCUCACAGUUUUUCAGUUUUCUCACAGGAAAGCUGUUUUGGUAAAUCAAAUGGCCAAAUUUCCUCCCAAACAUAUUCUUUGGGUUUCUGAGAUACUAAGGGAGUAGGAGGAAAAAAAUUCUCUUUUCCUGUGUCUCAUGAGUACAUUCCUAUUAAAAAUGCAACGUUUUGACAAGAUAGUAACACAACGAUUGUGUAGCUUUUGCACAGGAAUUGUAUUAUUUCCUAAAUUAGAGGCACACAGCAAGCAGGAAAAGGUGUUUUAUCUACUUGGUCACCAUUUACAGAUGCAUACAUGCUUAUAAAUACAUCUGCCUUCAGGUUCCAUUUUGAAAGGCCAGACACUGAUCCAAUGUGAUAAAAAACAAUCUCAGCAAAAAAAAAAAAUAAUGAUGAUGAUACCUUAUCAGCAGUUUUACAAUAGAUCCAUACACAACUAAUGGGAAAUUUCAGUUUGUUGCCAAUUCCCCCAGAACAGGUCCAGUCUGAAAGUACUAUUGGUGUUACCACAAAGAAAGAAAAAAUUUCAGAGAACCUAAACUAUGGCUAAAUAACACUGUUUUGCAAUGGAAAGUUUCUAAGUCCCUAAGUAAACUGCAACUGCUUUUGCUUUCUAAAGGGUGACUCUGAACAGAGGCCAGACCACACAAGCCCUGCUACCCUGAAAUGUGGUUCUCCAGUGGAAACUGAUUUUGUAAUACCUAGAAAUGAGAUGUUUUUCCUGGAGGAAAAAAAGAAAAAGAAUAUCUAGUUUUGUGAAAUCCAUUUUCUUUCACUCUCAAAAUAACAUUUAAGUUUAAUUAAAUAGAGGGAAAUUUCUAUUUAAAGCUCAGCUAUAUAAAAUAGCAAAAAGCUGAAAAUAAAUGUUUUCGACUUACACCAGUGGUCCUCUACCACAUACUUUUAGGUCUGUGCCAGAAAAUGGUGAGGCUCUUUUGUUGUGCUUUAAAAUGUUGACAAAGCCUUUCUAUGUUAUUUAAGUAGAUACUGCGAGGCAAGAAUAGAAAGAGAAAUCUGUGUACCUGCCAAGUGUUAUUACUAGCUCUGUUUUCUAAUUUGAUUGACAUCAGAUAUACUAGCAAAACUUCCAGCUGCUCCAUAACCUGAAGAGGAUAAGAAAAACCUACACAAAUAUCUUCUUCCUGAAUGAAUCUUCCCUAAAACAAACAAAAGUCAACCAGCCUAUGGUCUGUUGGUUAGCAUUUCAGUCAAAUAUGGGGACAAGUCCUGGUAUCAACAACAGAAUUUAGAUUACAAAAGUUUUUACAGCUUUGUCAAAACAAACAAAAUGUGGCAUUAAUUAAUUUCCUUUAAAAAAAAAAAUAUGGCCAGGUGCGGUGGCUCUACACCUGUAAUCCCAGAACUUUGGGAGGCCGAGGCCGAAGCCGGUGGAUCACUUGAGGUCAGGAGUUCGAGACCAGCCUAGCCAACAAGGUGAAACCCCGUCUCUACUAAAAAUACAAAAAAUUAGGGGGGCAUGGUUGCACGUGCCUGUAAUCCCAGGCACUUGGGAGGCUGAGGCAGGAGAAUCGCUUGAACCUGGGAGGCGGAGGUUGCAGUGAGCCAAGAUCACACCGCUGUACUCCAGCCUGGACAGCAAAGCGAGACUCCGACUCAAAAAUGUGUGUGUGUGUGUGUGUGUGUGUGUGUGUGUGUGUGUGUGUGUUCUUGAUUAUACCCACCUAUUCCAUUUACAAUUAGUAUGAAGGUAUUAGCCUAAGUAUUUAAAAAUACUAUAUAAGGUAAAGGAAAUUUUUCUUUUUCUAAAUAUGUCUAAGUUCCCCCAUCUAGUUUCUGUUUUGCUUUUCUGAGUUGCAACAUGUAAGAUUAUUAUAAUAAUUUUCAGUUUCCCUUUCCCUUGAAGAGACUUCUGCAGUCGAGCUUUGUGGUUUUCAAAGUAACUUCAAAAGCAAUACAUAAAGGUUGACUUCUCGUAACAUUGUCUCAACAUCAUUCAGGUUAAAAAAAAAAAAAGGCCUAGAAAACUCACAAUAGCGAUUUAUUCAUAGAGGAUGACUUUUCUACUCCUUGAGGACACUCACUCACUUUCUCUUUGAAUCUCAGGAUGACUUUUCCUCUCCUUGAGGACACUCACCACUUUCUCUUUGGAUCUCAGGACUCCCAGCUUUCCAAACCGAACGUGAAAAGGUGAACACUGAUAGCUGCCAUCCUGCUGCUGUACCACGAUGACAUCAAUGCACCCAGAGAGGGUGGCCUGGUUAAUGCCCUUGUAGAGUUCCUUCACAGUGACAAUCACCUGCCCAGCCAGCUGUCCCACAUAAUUCAUGGUUUGAGACUACAAGAAACAAAAAUUAGAUGAGAUGUUAACACUAAAUUUGUGAUCUAUUGACAAAGAAAUAACAGUCGUAACAAAAAUGACACUACUCACUUGUAUGCCAGAUUUCAUAUCAUUAGCCUUAUUAAUUUUCAACCUAACAGUCUCAUGCUACCAUUGUUUCUACGCAUUUCCACACACGGACCUCCCGAGACUAUUCUCCUUUGUAUCUGAGAGGCUGCUCCAGCCAGGGCCUGAGGCAUUCCCUUUCCUUUCUCAGCAACCUGGAUAGUACUGACUGCCAUUAGGGACUUUUUCCCCAAAGUUCAGGAUCAGCACAGAAUCACCAAAGAACCCUGACCUCCUGCCCAAGACCCUUUGGAACCUGCGGCUACUGCAUCCACUUUGGCCAUAGCAGCCAAACAGAAAAAACAAACAUCAUCCCCGGGAGAAACCAGAGAUUCAUCUUCCAACAGAACCAAUGUAAUAAAUUAGUGAGAGCUACAUUUUGUAAGGAACUAUUAUUACCAGAAUAGUAUGGUUCGGACACAUGCUAGAUUAAAUAAACUCUGGCAAGUCUGCCUGAGCCUAGCCCAUUUAUAACAUUACUUCUACGGAAAAAUCCCUUCAAUGACUCAAUAUAACUAACUGGAACAUGCAAUCAAGUUCUACAAAGUUCAAAGCACAGAAAAGGGUUUUACUCUUGUUCCUCAACCUCAAUUCACUAUUCAAAUCACAAUCAAAAGGUCUGCAAGGAGUUCUCCAGAAAGGCUCAAAGGAGAGGAAGUACAGCUAAAGCCAGGGGUGGCUUUAUUGCCUUGGCCCCAUCCCCAACUUUUCCACUAAUAAAAACCAAAUCCCCCCCUUCAGUCCUAAUGUCAGAUUUUACUUCCAGCUACUGAAUACACCCCCACAUUUUAUUCAUUAGAUGCUGACACCCCUAAUAUUAUGCCAAAGCACAAUUCAGUGAAAGCCAUUCUGGGGACUGGAAUGACAGAGAGUAACCAAGAGCCCCUCCAAUGCUCCAGCUAAUUCAGAGGCCAACUUUCACCCAACCACAGGACUGACUGACUGCUCUCCAGGCUGUCUGCCAUAAGCAGCUCGUGGUUUCUCUACACCCAGCUUGGAGGCUGCCUUGAGCUUAAAGGUCCAUGCUCUGAAAAGUUUCAGAGAUCAUGUUCUGUGUUGCCAAGUGAGUCCAAAACUGAACUGGGAGAAAGAAUGCUGUCUUCUUGGGAAAACUCAGGGGCCUCCAGGAUAUCUGCCUGCACAGAAAUUCACUCUGCUCUUCACAGAUGAGUGGCCACGGCAGAGCCCUGAUUCUAAAUUGUUUCCUGUUCCUACACGCGGAUGAAUGUGUAAUCAAGGCCCAUCAGUUCUACACCAUGAAGCAUCGCCAUGAUAAUUUUACCCUGGAAGAAAUUUUUAAAAUAUUUUAAAACUAAUGUUACCAAGGCCCUUAAAUGCACCCAUAGAAAAGCUGGAAAACGCUUGUGCUGCAAAACUUACUCCUAAAUAACAAAAUAAGAUGACAUCCUUUAUGUGAUAUCAAACAAUUAUAAUCUGGUGAUGGUUUUGGAAUAAUUGAUUUGACCUCAAUAGCUAAACCAAAUUAAGCAUGUAUCAAGUGCUCAAUAAUCAUUUAUUGAAUGAAUGAACAAAUGA